GUCAUGGCUCAGGAUGAACGCUAGCUACAGGCUUAACACAUGCAAGUCGAGGGGCAGCAUCGCGAUAGCUUGCUAUUGCGGAUGGCGACCGGCGCACGGGUGAGUAACGCGUAUCCAACCUUCCCGCAACUGGGGAAUAACCUUGCGAAAGUAAGACUAAUACCCCAUGGUCUCCACGGAUGGCAUCUGAAAUGGAGUAAAGGUUUCGGCCGGUUGCGGAUGGGGAUGCGUCCGAUUAG
rnacentral:rRNA from 1 species